rnacentral:rRNA from 1 species
AGGCGACGAUCCCUAGCUGGUCUGAGAGGAUGACCAGCCACACUGGAACUGAGACACGGUCCAGACUCCUACGGGAGGCAGCAGUGGGGAAUAUUGCACAAUGGGCGCAAGCCUGAUGCAGCCAUGCCGCGUGUAUGAAGAAGGCCUUCGGGUUGUAAAGUACUUUCAGCGGGGAGGAAGGGAGUAAAGUUAAUACCUUUGCUCAUUGACGUUACCCGCAGAAGAAGCACCGGCUAACUCCGUGCCAGCAGCCGCGGUAAUACGGAGGGUGCAAGCGUUAAUCGGAAUUACUGGGCGUAAAGCGCACGCAGGCGGUUUGUUAAGUCAGAUGUGAAAUCCCCGGGCUCAACCUGGGAACUGCAUCUGAUACUGGCAAGCUUGAGUCUCGUAGAGGGGGGUAGAAUUCCAGGUGUAGCGGUGAAAUGCGUAGAGAUCUGGAGGAAUACCGGUGGCGAAGGCGGCCCCCUGGACGAAGACUGACGCUCAGGUGCGAAA